UCUGCAAUUACAGGAAGUACAGGAUUUACCAAACAAUACUCGAACAAACACAAACUGCAAUUUAGUAAAUUUGCAACUUGAUUUAUACAAUAUAUUUAUAAAUAACGGGCCACGUGUAAAAUGCCAUUAAAGGAGUGUUAUACCAAGCUUCAAUGAUUUCUAAAGGGGAAUAUACCAAGAUCAACACAGUUUAAACUGGAACGACAUAAGGCGUCCCAUGAAAACUGCAGAAUAAAAACGUGAACGAAGGGCUGUUAAUUCAUUUUACUAUCAGGUGUGCCCAAUAGAGCCACCGCAUAUAAGUUAGGCCUCAAAAAAGAGAACCAGAGAGCAGCAGCGGUGGUCAAGAAGAAGAAAAAGAAGAACCUGCAUACAUUGACCAAAAGGGGAGCCAAUACCGGAGACGAAGCCGAGGUUUGCAACUGAGAUUGGGAAGACGACAGCAGUACUCUAAGAGCGAGAGAGACUUGAGGGAAGAAGUUGAUAUUAUAACAAACUGAGCACCGGUGGAAAGCAUUUGUUUUGGAUUGUCAGAAAAUGAGUGGAACACCAAGUGCAUGCGAGUUAAGUAAACAGAAUUUAUAUUGCACUCGCUGUAUUAGAAAAAUUAGCUUACCCUGCUUGCUUGCUGCAUUUAUAUAUAGUAUAUGGACGCAUACAUUCCAGUUAUAUGGUGCUAAACUCAGCAUAGUAUCUUCUCUGCUUGCUGUACUGUAUUGCAUAAAACAAGAUAUCCUGCUUAACUUUACAUUAGACAAAGUCUAUUACUGCUGCAUUUUCCUAUAUAGAAGCAUAUGCUCUGAUCAUACUGUAUUAAAUACAGCAUAGUAAUUUUUGCUUGUCGCGUUUUUACUGUAAAGAAACUGAUCACUUCUAUUUGAGCAUCAAAAGAAACUUAUUUAUAUUGGAUAAAAUUCACUA